rnacentral:rRNA from 1 species
UACGUAGGUCCUGAGCGUUGUCCGGAUUUAUUGGGCGUAAAGCGAGCGCAGGUGGUUUAUUAAGUCUGGUGUAAAAGGUAGUGGCUCAACCAUUGUAUGCAUUAGAAACUGGUAGACUUGAGUGCAGGAGAGGAGAGUGGAAUUCCAUGUGUAGCGGUGAAAUGCGUAGAUAUAUGGAGGAACACCGGUGGCGAAAGCGGCUCUCUGGCCUGUAACUGACACUGAGGCUCGAAAGCGUGGGGAGCAAACAGG